UUCCCUCUUAAAUGGAAACUACUGAAUCAGUAGUACCGAUUGAUGUCUGUGGACUUUGUAAAUUAACAAUUUAUUGUGAUAUUUUGUGCACAAAGUCUAGUUGUCUCAUAAAUAAAUCGCUCACACAAAAUUAGUUGUUCAUAUUAUUGAUUUAUUUUUCAACAUUUGAAGAGCUAUUGAUUCAGGCCUACUUAAAAGGAAACCAUUUGCCAUUAAUUUGUUCAACAAAGCAUCAAACAGUUGUGGAAAAAUGAAGUUGAUUUUAACAUUUGUGUUGUGUUGUGUUGCCGUCGCCAAAGGUGAUUUUUGGAAUGAUCUGGGCCAAGCGAUUGGAUUCGAAUUAUGGUGUGCUACGGUAAAAAUAACAAGACAGUCUGCCAAAUAUAAUGAAGCAAGUUUUUUCGACCGAUUCAAACUAAAUCUACUCGUACUUCAAUGCAACAUGGGUUUGGACAUUAAUCCCGAUCUCUUUUUGAUCAUAUCGUAUAUUGUCAUUCUAAUUGUGGCAGCAGUGAUUUUAAGAUGCAUAUUCAAAAUAUUUGGAUCGAAAAGAUCGGUAGUGGUUGAA